CUCGCCACUCGCCACUUGCCACUUCACCCACUUUUGGUUUAAAGUUCCCGCCGCUUCUUCCAGUCUCCUCAACUCGACUAGCCGCCCUUCAUUCCGCGUAAUUCCUUUGCUCAUUUGGAGCAGGCGGCCUUUUUUUCCAACUCCUGCUCCUGCUGCUGCUGCUGCUUCUGCUCCUGGCCCUACUAAUGAGCCACUGAUGGUCAUGACCUGACCCUGUCCACUGUCCACUGUCCGCUGUCCCCCUCGCUUUCAGGGGCAAGAGGCAAUUACUUAAUCAUUUGCCUAACGACCGAAAGGCAGGCAAAGCAGCAACAACACCAGAAAUUAGCAAAAAUUAAGUGAGUAAGUGAGUUAAAAUAAAUUGAGGAUACGGAAUGGGACAGGCCAGGACUUCGUCAUGUCCUGGCUCCAGUUCAUCCCCCAACCACCCCCGAAAAGUACAAAAAAAAGGAGACAUUGCGGUGAAUGUGGUGCAGUGGCACGUUCUGUGGUUUCUAUUUUUUAAUUUUCCAAACAUCUUUGUAAGAAAACAUCUAGGCAGAAGUAUCUUGGAUUAUUUUCCUUUAAAUCUAAGACAUUAUUUCAAGAGUUUUGUGGUUUCUUUCUUUUCUAAUUCAUUUUAAAGUUGUAAAGUUACUUGGGAAAACUAGAAAGCCAGCCUAGCUAGUUUUUGCAUUUAAAUUAUGGGUUUUCAUGAAGAACAAUCCAUUUUAAAAAAUUAUAAUUAUUAAGCAUCGAUUUUGAAUGCAAUUACUAUUUUAAUUAUUUGUAAAGUUGCCUAAGUACACCCCUUGAGAAGCGAGUAGAAGAGCUCUGUGAUUUGGAAUUAAUACUGUUGGAAUUUGGUAUUAGAAGUAAUUCUAGCUUUUAGUAUUAUUUUAGUACAAGAAUAUAUUAUAAAGAGUAGUAUUAUUUUGGUAUUAUGAAUGCUAAGUAGGAACUAAGUAGAGCUCUAGUAGUUGUAGGAAUAAACCUCUAAUAGGUAGUAUAUUUGGGAAUAUAUUAUUUAAAUCUGUUUCUUAAUUUUGCUUCCAUCUCGGAGGUAAACCUUGUGAGAAGCGCGGAGAAGGGUGCUGGUAUUUACACAAUAGUAUUACAUUUCAUAAAACAAAAAUGGAAACAAAGUUGCCCUUAAAUGAUUUAUUUCAAUCUGGAGGAGACUUUAGAGAAAAGCUGUUGCUAUGUUUGUAUAUUUUGCUGACUUCUUGGCCUUGUUCUUAGAACGAGUGAGUGUGUUGUUAUUGUUCUUGAGAUGCUCUCGAGGGAGUAUCCGGUAUCUGCAUGUGCACGUCUGCAUCUGCAUCUGCAUCUACAAGAUACCCAGGCAGUUGGGUGUGUGUAUCUUACGGAUUUCUUCAGCUCUAGACUCUCGGUCCCGGGCCCAGGACCAGGACCAGGCUCAGGCCCAGGCUCAGGCCCAGGCAAGCAUAUAAAUCUAUUAUCCUUUAAUUUAGCCACAGAAAUAAUGAAGCAUGUAAGAGUCUUUUGUGUAUCUUUUGUGUGUGUGUGUGUGUGUCAGAGGGGGCGUGGCACACUUACACACACCCACAUAAAUUCAAUCAACGGCAAUUUGCUGGCAGAGUUGCUGCAAAGGCGUCGCCAUCCGCAAAUAUGUGCAAUUUAUUUAUUGUUGCCACACAGGACACCCAGUAGAUGCUGUUGUUUUUAGUUUUAAAAUAUAGUUGCCUAAUUUCUUAUUAUUAUUUAGAGAAGUUUUUGAAGGAAAGGACUAUAAUGGCAAUCUGUUUGAUGGAAAAGACUUCAAGACCUUGAAGAUAGAUAUUUCUUGAAUCUCUCGGACUUUGUGGAGCGAUGUCCUAUAUCUUAUUCCAUGAAUAGUAUUGUAUAGAACCCCCUGCCUCUCCUAGGGUAUCUGGAAUUCUUCUCCAACUCCUUGCAAGCCUUCUUGACUCUGCCUGUUGUUGUAUCUGCAAAUUGAAUUUUCGUUUUGCAUUUUGUGCGAUUUUCGGCAAUUCAUUAAAAUCUCCUGUACCCCACCCCCCACAACCCAGUUGCUGUUGCACUUGCUGCUCCACAAAAUGCAAAUUUUCGGAGCAAAUUCGGAAAAGCUUUUUGGGGAAAAAAGCGAAAUAGAAGCAAAGACACAAAGCAGCGCCCAAUUGGCAACACAAUGUGGCCCGGAAGGAGUGCCAGAAGAGCAUCCUGUGCAUCCUGCAGCCUGCGUCCUGGGAGUGCAAAAUGUGAAUUUUGAAUUCAUCGAGUGGUUUCAUCGAGUGAAACGAUUAACUUCUCGAUUCGAUGGCAAAUCGCAUCAAAGGGAAUUAUCCUGGCCGGACCGAUUGAUUUACUGGCGCCCCCGCCCCCCCUGGAAAAUAUCCUGGGGAAAGCGCAGUGGCAAAAAGGACUAUGCUAUGAUUUAUGGAAAGGCAACAGUAGAGGGAUGAGAAUUUUUUUGUGGCGGAGGAGGAGGUAACUUUUCGCGCCUUCUCGAAAAACUGUCCUCCGUGACGUCAGACUUGGCAUGCAGAAGGGACACUGUCGACCAUCAAGGAGAUUCGAGGAAGGACCUAAGGACCAAGGACUAAGGACCUAAGGGCCGGCCACAGAGCGAAAGGGACUGAAAAGGGAGCAGUGCGGCUGAUUAAAAUGCGUUGCAGGAGCAUAAAAAGCAUUGAGUUGCAUUUGCAUUUAUAUUGUUUUGACCCCGGCAUUAUUAUCAUUUCUUUUCCGCCACCAUCUCUUCCCGCUCCGGCACUUUGUGGACACGUAGCCGGGCCUUCAGCUCCACUUUCCAGGGCCCAGGGCCCAGGGCCCAGCUGGCUGUCCUCCUGGCUGAUCCUUGAUUAUGCCCCCGGCAUUAAGCCAACUUUUGAAAGCUCAAAGCCCGCCCGGCCGCCGUAUUUUAUGUCGUGGUUGGACGGAGGAUGUCCAGAAUAAUGGCCACAAUCUGGAGGACAGGGCGAUAAUGCCCGGAACUAAACGAGUCAGCAGAUGAUUAGGCUCCUUGGCGGAGUCAGACUGUGGAGCAUCACAUCACCUUUUCGACACUCCAGCCAGUCCAAUUUGCAACCAAGAUGAA